rnacentral:rRNA from 1 species
CCUACGGGAGGCAGCAGUAGGGAAUCUUCCACAAUGGACGCAAGCCUGAUGGAGCAACGCCGCGUGAGUGAAGAAGGGUUUCGGCUCGUAAAGCUCUGUUGUUAAAGAAGAACGUGGGUAAGAGUAACUGUUUACCCAGUGACGGUAUUUAACCAGAAAGCCACGGCUAACUACGUGCCAGCAGCCGCGGUAAUA